UAGGGAUUAAAUUUUGACUAAUCGAUACAGACCACCCAGUUGAGAGAUUGCUCAUCCUAAGGGACAUUGCUUCCCACACCCUCAAAGACUCCAGCUUUUUACUGUGGCUCAAGUCCUUUGAGUGGCAGUAGAAAAUCCAGCAGUGAUGAUAGGAAAGCCCUCAUGGCUUCCUUUCACAGCUUUCCAGACUUCGGGAUUUUAACUCUUUAUGAAGAUAAAAAGUAAACAUCAAUGUGUAUGUACCAUGCAUGAAUUACUCAAAAUUUAGAUGGCAAAUUGAAUUUCAUUGCUGUUUCGUGCACUAUGGAAAACAAAUAAGAAAUUAUCUGGAGCAGAAAAUAAAAUGAUUUACAUAUUUUAAUAAUGUCUUAUUAUUUUACCUUCAAGCUGCAAAGCUCUUGCAAAGCAAAAAGGCCCAUGGAAGAUGGGACAUGCUUAUGUGAACAAGACCUCAUGUCAACUCCAUUCCUCCCCCAGUGCCCAGUCCAAUGCCUGGCACACAGGAAAUGCAUGCUGGAUGAACAUGUCUUGAGCAGCAAAACUGGAGACCUUGCUGAAUAUAUCAGGGGUUGCUGUAUAAUUUACUGUGUUCUGUCUGUCCAGUGAAUUCCACAUUAUAGUCAGUUCAUUCAUUCUACAAGUAUAGUAGUUUAGUUGCUACUGUUUCUAGACUAUGCCAGUGAGCCUCUGUGGUCAGCUUUUACCCUAUGUUCAUGUAGCUCCAUGGCCCUGGGCUGCACCUUUGGGGAGAUGUGCUUCCUCUUUAGUGUAAGAAAUGCCGUAAUCUAUUAUUUCUCAUCUAUCCUUAUUUUGUAACAACUCCAGUAGUUAGUAUAAAUGGAGAAUAUGAGAUUCUACUACGAACUACAGAAUCAAAGAUUGGAAAAACCUACAUUUUCAAGAAAGAGGAGAGUCGAAUAAAGCUUGGUACAUUAGGAGGAUACCAUGCUUUGUUUCCAUAUAAAAGUGUGCUUCUGUAAGUAUUGACAUGUGUAUACAUAAAAUAUCUCUGCAGGGGGAUUAAACAAGAAAUCUGUAAAAUUGACCAUCUGUAAGUGGUAGGGGGUUGGGCACUGUAAACCGGUAGGAAGGAAGGCUUACUGUCAACCAUCUACUUACCUUUUUAACAAUUUAAUUUUACCAACUGCG
rnacentral:lncRNA from 10 species